UGGCUCAGAACGAACGCUGGCGGCAGGCCUAAUACAUGCAAGUCGAACGCUCCAGCAAUGGAGAGUGGCAGACGGGUGAGUAACGCGUGGGAACCUUCCCAGUGGUACGGAAUAGCUCAGGGAAACUUGGGGUAAUACCGGAUAAGCCCUUCGGGGGAAAGAUUUAUCGCCAUAGGAUGGGCCCGCGUCGGAUUAGCUAGUUGGUGGGGUAACGGCUUACCAAGGCUACGAUAAGAUAGCUGGUCUGAGAGGAUGAUCAGCCACACUGGGACUUUGUCCCUGCCCAGAGAAAUACGGGAGGCAGCA
rnacentral:rRNA from 1 species